AAUCUACUUCCCUGCCUCCUCCUCCCUCCAUGUAGCGAUCCGACAGCCCCGACAUGGCAUGAGAGAGCUCUUUGUCUCCCAAAAAGGAUUUGAACUGUGUGUACACUUCAGGAAACUUCCUGGAAAGCAUUUGGAUUCAAUGCUGAUGGCACUGUCAAACUCCACUGGGCUGGUCUCUGAGGCGGGCGGGGACCCUGACGAGGUGGCGGCCUGAUUCUGACUCUCUCUGCUUGCCAACGGAAGCGACAGUCUGCUGGGAUUUUCCGAGGGCCCGGCUGAAGAAGUCGAGGAGGAAAGGGACUCUGCCGAGGACGGCUUCGAGUCACCGGGGUGAGCUGGUCCGGCUUCAGAGGUGGUGGCGGACGCGGCACCGGAGGUCGACGUUAUUGUGGAGGCAGUGACAAUCUUCCCCUGUUGGCCUGGAGACACCUGAAUAGAAGACAAAUUCAAGUCAAAAUGCCAAUGUCAUUUAAUCAACUUAGUAAGGUACAACAAUCAUGCUUGUUUUGUCACCAAAACGCAAAUUCAUCAUUAUAACGAACCAAACAAUGUGUUAUGUUAUUAUGGUUGCGGAUAAAGAGCCCUAUCAUGUGGUUGAGUAUUAACAUUUAGCCUUACUGCUUUUUUUCACGACUUAGAGCGUACUUUUCAACAUCAGUGGUUUCAACUAUUCUCUAAAAAAUGCCACCAAUGCGGUCUUAGCACGGCAAACAACCCAAUUGGUUCACUGAGCAGCUCAAGAGCCUAAAAUGUCCUUCACAAGUCAAAGACGAGCAGGCAGUACAAAACAGAGAAUAAAAUGAAUCCCAAAGAUACAA